CCUACGGGUGGCAGCAGUGAGGAAUAUUGGUCAAUGGACGCGAGUCUGAACCAGCCAUGUAGCGUGCAGGAUGACUGCCCUAUGGGUUGUAAACUUCUUUUAUAAAAGGAUAAAACGAGGCACGUGUGCCUUUUUGCAUGUACUUUAUGAAUAAGGAUCGGCUAACUCCGUGCCAGCAGCCGCGGUAAUACGGAGGAUCCGAGCGUUAUCCGGAUUUAUUGGGUUUAAAGGGAGCGUAGAUGGGUUGUUAAGUCAGUUGUGAAAGUUUGCGGCUCAACCGUAACAUUGCCAUUGAUACUGGCAGUCUUGAGUACAGUUGAGGUAGGCGGAAUGUGUGGUGUAGCGGUGAAAUGCUUAGAGAUCACGAAGAACCCCGAUUGCGAAGGCAGCUUACUAAACUGUGACUGACAUUGAUGCUCGAAAGUGUGGGUAGCAAACAGGAUUAGAUACCCCAGUAGUC
rnacentral:rRNA from 1 species